AGGGCGUAUGGCGGAUGCCUAGGCACUGAAAGGCGAUGAAGGACGUGGUAUACUGCGAUAAGUUUCGGGGAGUUGUAUGCAGGCUUUGAUCCGAAAAUUUCCGAAUGGGAAAACCCAACUCUUUAUGAGUUACUUUGCACUGAAUUCAUAGGUGUAAAGAGCAAACCCGGAGAACUGAAACAUCUAAGUAACCGGAGGAAAAGAAAUCAAUUGAGACUCCGUUAGUAGUGGCGAGCGAAAGCGGAAUAGGCCAGCAAAGUUGAUAAGUUAAUUUGAAUAGUUUGGAAAAACUAACCAAAGCAGGUGAUAGUCCUUUAGAAGUAAUACUUAUUAAUUUUCUUGAGUAAAGCGGGACACGUGUAAUCUUGCUCGAAUAUAGGGGGACCACCCUCUAAGCCUAAGUACUCUUCAGUGACCGAUAGUGAACUAGUACCGUGAGGGAAAGGUGAAAAGAACCCCUAUUAGGGGAGUGAAAUAGAACCUGAAACCGUAUGCCUACAAACAGUCAAAGCUCUUUUUAGAGUGAUGGCGUACCUUUUGUAUAAUGGGUCAGUGAGUUAAUUUAUCCAGCAAGCUUAAGCCGAUAAGGUGUAGGCGUAGCGAAAGCAAGUCUUAAAUGGGCGUUAGUUGUAUGAAUUAGACCCGAAAACGAAUGAGCUUACCAUGAGCAGGUUGAAAGCAGGGUAACACUUGCCGGAGGACCGAACCAGUUGACGUUGAAAAGUCUUUGGAUGACUUGUGGUAAGGGGUGAAAGGCCAACCAAAUUCGUAGAUAGCUGGUUUUCCGCGAAAACUAUUUAGGUAGUGCGUUGAAUAAACAUACUUUUGGAGGUAGAGCACUAAAUGGGCUAGGGGGUAGAAAUACCUACCAAACCUAAUAAAACUCCGAAUGCCAAAAGUAAUUCCUCAACAGACAGACUGUGGGUGCUAAGGUCCAUGGUCGAGAGGGGAACAGCCCAGAUCACCAGAUAAGGUCCCUAAAUCAUGAUUAAGUGUGAAAGGAUGUGGAGAUUCCAUAACAGCCGGGAGGUUGGCUUAGAAGCAGCCAUCCUUUAAAGAUAGCGUAACAGCUCACCGGUCUAAUAGAGUUUCUGCGCCGAAGAUGUAACGGGGCUCAAAUCAUGUACCGAAUCUGUGGGUGUAUAAAGUUUUCGAAUUUUAUACGCGGUAGCGGAACGUUCUGUAAGCCUGUAAAGGUGUACCCGCGAGGGACACUGGAGGUAUCAGAAGUGCGAAUGCUGACAUAAGUAACGAUUAACAGAGUGAAAAACUCUGUCGCCGAAAAUCCAAGGUUUCCUGCGCAAGGUUAAUCCGCGCAGGGUUAGUCGGCCCCUAAGACGAGGGCGAAAGCCGUAGUCGAUGGGAACAAGGUUAAUAUUCCUUGACCAGAUGAGAGUGACGGAUUUUGUAAAUUGUAAGUUCUUAAUGGAUUGAACUUGCUGUGAAGAAAUCCCAGGAAAUAACCUCAUCAUAGACCGUACCCUAAACCGACACAGGUGGAUUAUUAGAGUAUAAUUAGGCGCUUGAGAGAAUGAUGUUGAAGGAACUCGGCAAAAUGCCUCUGUAACUUCGGAAGAAAGAGGACCUUUUUUAAGGCAACUUAAUUAAGGUGGCACAAGCCAGGGAGAAGCGACUGUUUAUCAAAAACACAGGACUCUGCUAACACGUAAGUGGAUGUAUAGGGUCUGACGCCUGCCCGGUGCUGGAAGGUUAAUAUGGUUGGUGCAAGCUAACUGUUGAAGCCCCAGUGAACGGCGGCCGUAACUAUAACGGUCCUAAGGUAGCGAAAUUCCUUGUCGGGUAAGUUCCGACCUGCAUGAAUGGCGUAACGAUUUCUCCGCUGUCUCCAACAUCAACUCAGUGAAAUUGAAUUCUCCGUGAAGAUGCGGAGUUCCCGUGGUUAGACGGAAAGACCCCGU
rnacentral:rRNA from 1 species